UAAUGUUCUUAUUGUGAUGACUGAUGUUUGAUGUUGUUCCUCUGUUUUGCGUUGCCUUUUCCAAUAGGUUUCAUGUCUUCUCAACUGCCUGCUUUUCUGUCCCUUCCCCCAUUCUCUCUGCGGUGUUUAGCACUGUCUAAUGUUAAGCCAAUGUCCCUCUUCUUCCCAAAAAAGUUGCUUGUAAUUUUUCUUCAUAGAAUAGUUUUUCCAGAAAACACGUGUUUGGUAAACUUUGAGUCUUUUUAUGCCUGAAAAUAUCUUUCAUGCUCACAUUUUAAUGAUAUUUGGUUUAUCACCUUGCAUCUGGGGUUGCUGAUAAGAAGACUGAUGUCUGAUUAUACUUCCUUUAUUUAAGCCUGCCUGGCUGAGUGGCCUGGGAGUCCUGCUGCAGUGCCUCAGCCAGUCUCCACCUCCACUACCACUACCACACCAGACCUGUCUUCAGAAUCUGAUUCCUCAGGUCAAUGCUCAACCGCUGGGCCUAAACCCCAGUGUGGCUGCUUGUGCCACAGCAUCCUGGAUGAGUUGCUAACCCCUCUGCCGCCCCCCACCCUUCCAUUUCUUCACCUGUGAGGUGAGAAUGACAAUAGGUCCUACUUUAAGGAAACUGUGGAUGUUUAAAAGUAUCUAUAAAAUGCUUACCACAAAGCCUGAAAUGGACAAACAUUAUUCAUAAAUUAUCUAGGUUAUA